UGUAGUUCCCGUCACUAAAAGAACGUGCGAAACUGCGCCACUUCCCUGAGGAAAGGUCCCUCCUACCGAAAGAAAAAUAAAAUGUAAACACUGCCUAAUCUUUGCGGACCCUCAGGUCUUCUUGACCCUAUUGCCAGGGCACUCACCUCCUGUCGCAGCCCAGGCCUAUCAGCUAGACAAGCAAUCCCCGAAUGGGAAACGCAUCCUUCUUAUCUUCUGUGCAAGCUGUGUGUGCUCAGGCUGGAGGGCAGAAGGUUCAUCCGAGAACUGAAGCCCUGGGCUGGGCAGCGCCUGUUUCUGUCCUGCUUCGCUCUCAGUCGGCUCCAACACCUGGUCCAUAGGAGGCACUCAACGGUGCGUGUGCAAUUACAUGGCAAUGACAUGAGAGUGCCCCUUAUAAACAGCCGUUUGUCCUCUCCACUUAGCUGGAGCAGGCUCAUCCCGGAAGGCUAAGCCCACAGCUUUGUUCUGGAGAGUUGGCCGGCGGGUCCUGUCCGUGGGAACGCAGCCACGUCCCACACGGGGCAGAAGUCUGGUGCCACAGUGGUCUUGGACACGUGAACAAACACACACACACCACACACACCUUACUUUUCAGUGGUUUUCUCCUCGAUAGGUCAGUGUGAGGUCUUGCCCUUGUGAGCGUCUGGCUCUGUGCGGGGCUGACAGCGCUGGUGUUGUGUAUACAGACGCUCGAAGGACAGGCAGUGAUGGGUGUAUUGCAGCCGUGGGGCCCAAGUCCACGGGAACCCGGGAUUAUAAUCGACAAGCUGGAAUUCUAACAGGGCGUUGAUAGGUUUUUAAAUCGUUUGUUCCUCUUGGAAUUAUUAGUCUCUCUGAUCUGAGGUGACAGCCUGUGUGCUGACCAAACCCUCGUUACGACUCAGUUACUUUCCAGUAUCUGGAUAGACCAGCAUUUACAGCCCGGAGCUUCCAGUGUAGCUGGAUCAUACGGUAGUUCUGUUUAAUCUUUUGAGGAACGCCCGAACUGUUUCCUUUAGUCUUAGAACGUGAGUGGAGAAAACAGAUGUAUUCUACGGUUUCUUUAUCCCUUUGGGAUGUCUGGACAUCAGUGCCAUCAGUUUCUCCAAAUGAGGGUCACUUGCUUGUCAUUAGCCAGAGGUGGGCAAGCCCCGCCACUGCCUGUUCUUGUCAAUAAAGUUUUAUUGGAACACAGC